rnacentral:rRNA from 1 species
GACGAACGCUGGCGGCGUGCCUAAUACAUGCAAGUCGAACGCAUUUUCUUUCACCGUAGCUUGCUACACCGAAAGAAAAUGAGUGGCGAACGGGUGAGUAACACGUGGGUAACCUGCCCAUCAGCGGGGGAUAACACUUGGAAACAGGUGCUAAUACCGCAUAAUUCCAUUUACUGCAUGGUAGAUGGAUGAAAGGCGCUUUUGCGUCACUGAUGGAUGGACCCGCGGUGCAUUAGCUAGUUGGCGGGGUAACGGCCUACCAAGGCUGCGAUGCAUAGCCGACCUGAGAGGGUGAUCGGCCACACUGGGACUGAGACACGGCCCAGACUCCUACGGGAGGCAGCAGUAGGGAAUCUUCGGCAAUGGACGCAAGUCUGACCGAGCAACGCCGCGUGAGUGAAGAAGGUUUUCGGAUCGUAAAACUCUGUUGUUAGAAAAGAACAAGGAUGAGAGUGGAAAGUUCAUCCCUUGACGGUAUCUAACCAGAAAGCCACGGCUAACUACGUG